CCUGCUGUACGACCAGCAGUUGCCUACGCGGACGUGCGCGACUGGUAACGGUCGGGUUCGAAGCUUCGGGGACAACGUACCCGCCUUACGGGCGAUUCACUCGGGUGACGGGAGGGAAUCGACACUGCCAGCAGCCGCGCGGUGUCGGGG
rnacentral:ncRNA from 1 species